CCUACGGGUGGCUGCAGUCGAGGAUUUUUGGCAAUGAGCGCAAGCUUGACCAAGCGACGCCGCGUGCGGGAUGAAGGCCUUCGGGUUGUAAACCGCUGUCAGUGGGGAGGCUAAUCCGCAGAGGAAGUGAGGGCUAAGCUCGUGCCAGCAGCCGCGGUAAGACGAGCCUCACAAACGUUAUUCGGAAUCACUGGGCUUAAAGGGUGCGUAGGCGGUGUGGAAAGUCGGAUGUGAAAUACCUCAGCUUAACUGAGGAACUGCACUCGAUACUUCCAUGCUAGAGUAAGACAGAGGUGAGUGGAACUGAGGGUGGAGCGGUGAAAUGCGUUGAUAUCCUCAGGAACACCGGUGGCGAAGGCGACUCACUGGGUCUUACUGACGCUGAUGCACGAAAGCUAGGGUAGCAAACGGGAUUAGAUACCCUUGUAGUC
rnacentral:rRNA from 1 species